rnacentral:lncRNA from 1 species
UCAUGUAUCUGUAGCUAGUUCUGAAGGAUCUCCCCUUGAUGACCUUUGCAUUGUUGUGAUGUAAAAGUCCCUCACUACUGUGCACUGGUCAUGAGGAGAACUACUGCAGAUUGAGAUACUAUAUUCCCGGUUCUAUUUUUACUAUUUUUUAGUUUCCAUAUUUUAAAAUAAACUUAAUAUCAUAUCCUUUUAAUAUUAAAUCGGCC